CCGGGCAGCGGGGCCGGCCUCGGGCCUCCGGGAGGGCGGCUUGGAAACUGGGGAAGGGAAGGUAAAAGCCGGGUGAUCCCGGAGAGGUGUCCUUUGGGAGCAGGCCCCGCUUCCUCGCGGCGAUGAUCCGCUUGACCCGGGGGGCUUUGUUUUCACUCCAGCUGCGUCCAGGUCCCUUUCUCAGCUGGGGUUCUGCGCAGCGGCAAGAUGGUUUUAUGCUGUUAACCAUGCUAGCAGAGAGAGCAAACACCACACUGAGAACCACGCUGAGUCCAGCCGCGUGGCCCCCCAUGGACAACUCUGCCUGACGUGCUCCUAAGCCCACCAGACGGGGACACUGCCAUUUUCUUAGACUCUGAGAAAGGUGCAAAUCAAGCUGAACGAGGUGAAAUUCUGAGCUGACAGAAAAAGGAAUGGCAUGUGUGAGAGCUUGCAACCUUGCAGGGUCGUUAGCCGGUGAGUCAUCUGUGCUGUCCUCUUCAGCGCUUGAUGGAAACAACACAUUGCUCAGGGUGAUGGACGGGAGCUGUGUCCUCUGUUACUAAAACAAGUCUCUGUAGCUGGGUCCUCUUCUUCAAGGUGGAAAUUGCCAUCACUUCUGUUUGAACAAGGAAAGCAUUCUUGAAAAGUAAAGCAAAAUUGCUGCCAGAAAAAGUGGAAUUUGUGUGUUAAAAAAAUUGUUUACUUGUGUUAUUGUGUUGAUUUUGCCACUCAGCUCUGGUGCAGAGUAGAAAGCAGCUGUUACUUUUAAUUGCACUAGAGAUUUGCAAAUAAAAAAAACUUUCUUCUUCAUCGGUAUAAUCUCUAAUGUUUUUACCAGAUAGUCUUUUCUCCUGCACGGCUUGAUUACAGUGCCUUGAGUCAGACUCAGUGAUUAAUGUGGCUGACUAGACUGACAACUGAGUGGAAAUGGUAAAUAAUCACUUGUUUUUAUACGUGUAAAAACCAGUUUCUACUCACAUUGGAAAUCCUUGCAUUUGGAAGGGCAUCCUUCCAUCUUGCUUCCUGCUAACCUAAGGUCAUUUAAGGAAUAACUGCUUUAAGUGCUUGUUGAUUACAGUGAUGUAAAUGUCUCUGGCCCAGGCACUGCAGUGAACAAGACUUUCCAAACAGGAAUAUGGUUAAACCAAAGGCCGCAACUUUUAUGAACUACAUUGCCUAAUAAAACAGGGAGGAACUGCUAGCCAGCUGUUCCCCACAAACUACCCAGUAAAACAGGACCAGUGAGGUUCACCAAGCACGAGACUAUGGAGGCCAAGCUAAAUGUUUAAAAGAAGGCUAACCGCAUCCUCCCUCCUGCAAAAGUGACCAAGGCAUCUGGUCCCAAAGUAC